CACGUAGGGCGCAAGCGUUGUCCGGAAUUAUUGGGCGUAAAGAGCUCGUAGGCGGACUGUCACGUCUGCUGUGAAAAGCUGGGGCUUAACCCUGGCCUUGCAGUGGAUACGGGCAGACUAGAGGUAGGUAGGGGAGAAUGGAAUUCCCGGUGUAGCGGUGAAAUGCGCUGAUAUCGGGAGGAACACCGGUGGCGAAGGCGGUUCUCUGGGCCUUACCUGACGCUGAGGAGCGAAAGCGUGGGGAGCGAACAGG
rnacentral:rRNA from 1 species